GACGAACGCUGGCGGCGUGCUUAACACAUGCAAGUCGAACGAUGAACCAGGGCUUGCCCUGGGGAUUAGUGGCGAACGGGUGAGUAACACGUGGGCAACCUGCCCCAGACACCGGGAUAACCUCUCGAAAGGGUGGCUAAUACCGGAUACGACCACUUUGGGCAUCCAACGGUGGUGGAAAGGAUUCUGGUCUGGGAUGGGCCCGCGGCCUAUCAGCUUGUUGGUGGGGUAAUGGCCUACCAAGGCGACGACGGGUAGCCGGCCUGAGAGGGCGACCGGCCACACUGGGACUGAGACACGGCCCAGACUCCUAAGGGAGGCAGCAGUGGGGAAUAUUGCGCAAUGGGCGAAAGCCUGGCGCAGCGACGCCGCGUGAGGGACGAAGGUCUUCGGAUUGUAAACCCCUUUCAGCAGGGACGAAGCGAAAGUGACUGUACCUGCAGAAGAAGCACCGGCUAACUACGUGCCAGCCGCCGCCGUAA
rnacentral:rRNA from 1 species